GCCCGGGUGGUGGAAUUGGUAGACACGUAUGCCUUAGGAGCAUAUGCCGAUAAAGCGUGCAGGUUCAAGUCCUGUCCCGGGCACCA
rnacentral:tRNA from 1 species